UUUAAUCUAAAGUAAUUUUUGCUUAUUAGUAUGGUUGAAUCAGAUCAUUGAAAGUCAGCAGCAAAGACAUUGGUUAAUAAUAAAGUGAGAUUAAAUACAUAAAGUAUAUUUGUGCAAUUUAAUAUUGAAGUACAGAUUUGUGUAAAAUUCUGAGAUUGCAUUUCACUGUUUUUAUUCAUUUUGGGGAAUACUGACUGUUUUUGUGUAAGUGAAAUGAGUAAAUGCAUGUUCACAUUUAGUCUACAACUACAAUCACUAUCAUGUUUACACAGCGCACACACACCUCUGAACUAGGUCUAACUUGCGUUACUUAUUUGAAAAUGUAACUUAGAUAUUUUGUUGUAAGUUGAAAAAGUAAUGCAUUACUUUAAUAGAUACUUGAAAAAAGUAAUCUGAUUAAGUGACUCAAGUUACUUAUAAUGCGUUGCCCCCAACACAAUGUGAACCAAUGAAUUGUAUAUUCUGCAAAUUUUUUUUCACACAUACACACAAUAUUUAUAUCAAUAUGAUAGAACUCUUCAAUCUGAACAGCUUUGCCUCAAGAACCACUGCUGACAAUCAAACCAUAUUUGGUUAAUAUUUGGUUUAUACUUGGAAUAACUCAUGUAAUCUGCUGAAGUCAUGUGCGGCAGGUUUCUGGCAGACCACAUCUCAGCCUAUUCAAUAACACUAUUAGUCGUUUUGCAUCUUUCCUUGAAUUCCUAUUGGUGGAUUACUAAUCAUAUGAUUGGCAGCUAUUUAAAUGUAGUUAUUUCGAUUAUUUCAGUUAUUUCCCUCUCUGCUCUCUCGCUUUACAACAGCCGUUGCCCAAACAAACUGUAUAGCUUCAGUUCUGCAGGUGUCCGUGUGAGGUUUGAGCACCGUGGACUUUACCUCCCUCUAGUGGUGCAAUGUGAAAAUGAAAAAGCAUGAAAAGCAUGCAUUCAGUCAGACAAACAAA